UACAGAGGUCCCAAGCGUUGUUCGGAAUUACUGGGCGUAAAGGGUGCGUAGGUGGCGCCGUAAGUCGGGUGUGAAAUUUCGGAGCUUAACUCCGAAACUGCAUUCGAUACUGCGGUGCUUGAGGACUGGAGAGGAGACUGGAAUUCAUGGUGUAGCAGUGAAAUGCGUAGAGAUCAUGAGGAAGACCAGUGGCGAAGGCGGGUCUCUGGACAGUUCCUGACACUGAGGCACGAAGGCCAGGGGAGCAAACGGG
rnacentral:rRNA from 1 species